UACGUAGGGUGCAAGCGUUAUCCGGAAUUAUUGGGCGUAAAGAGCUCGUAGGCGGUUUGUCACGUCUGCUGUGAAAACUGGAGGCUCAACCUCCAGCCUGCAGUGGGUACGGGCAGACUAGAGUACUGCAGGGGGAGACUGGAAUUCCUGGUGUAGCGGUGGAAAUGCGCAGAUAUCAGGGAGGGAACACCCGGUGGCGAAAGGGCGGGGAUCUCCUGGGGCCCGUAAACCUGGACGCCUGA
rnacentral:rRNA from 1 species